rnacentral:lncRNA from 1 species
AAAAUCAGUCCAAAAUCACUCGACUAACACAACAAUACCAUAGUCUGCAAAGUUUCACCAACUCCCUGCGCAACCCAUCUUCUACACCCCAAAAAUCCGCGCAACAGUGGAGUCAGCACAAUUUCGGGGAUAAGGAUGCAAAUAAGAUUUGGAUUCAAAAAUUCAAAUCCAUCUCGAUAUUGGGUUUCCUUCUUCAAUUUUGGUUUCAAAACCGAAUGUUCAAGUUCGAAUUUGGUCUAUAAAUAGGGUGUUCUUCAACCCUAGAGGACAAGGGGGGAAAUUAGGAGAAAGGGCCACGGAGAACAAGAAAAGUGGGUGAUCGAAAACAACAGAGAGAAAGAGGCGAGAAAUAGUCUCCGUUCGAAUUUUGGAGUGUGAAUCUGGUGGCCGGGAUCCUUGACGGAAAGCUCUAGUUUGCUGCCCAAAAUAAGAUUUGAAUAAUGUAACUCCCUCCCCUAACAGGUUUGUGCAUCAAUCAGAUUUACGGUUAUGUUCAUCUGUAUAAUGCCGCGUAGUAAUCAAAGUUUGCCAACUCAUAUUUGAAAUUGUUUUGUUGGAUCUUUUAAUAAUUUUAAGUGAUCGUUAUUUAACAAAUGAUUAAUUUGCGCUUCUCUUUUAUUUAAUUUUUUUUAGUAUUUUAUUGGGUCCAGACUAUCAUACUAGUAAUAAAAACAAGUGGGUGAUCGAGAACGAGGAAGAGAGAAAGAGGCGAGAAAUUGUCUCCGUUCAAAUUUUGGAGUGUGAAUCUGGUGGCUGGGAUCCUUGACAGAAGGCUCUAGUUUACUGCACAAAACAAGGUAAGCUACUCGUCUAUUUUAUUUUCGUAAUCUGGUUCCAUGUGUCUGAAGAAUAAUGUUCUCGCUCUGGUUCAGACGUGGACUUGGAUUUGGUCUCGUAUGAAAUUUUAAUAUCAUGAGAACGUGCUAUCUCUUUUCGCCUGCUAUCGGGCAUAGUAGCGAAGUUUAUUUUGAAUAAUGUUAUGUUGGGAGUAGCGAACGUGUGUUCGGCUUGGCUGUGUGGCCGAGCAAUCGAAAAAAUGUACAAUAGGGCCACGUUUAGGCUUGUUCCGAGUUUGAGUUCCUAUUAACGUCGUUGUUUUGUAAUCAAGUUUAAAGACGGAUUUCAUACCAAGAUUUCAUUCCGUGGGCUUUGGCGGAUAAACUGUGCAACAUGUUUGAAGAUCCUUUCUUUAUUUUGCCUCCCUUGCUCCUCUUUGGUCGUUUUGAAUAGGCAAAUAUGUAGUGGAAUAUGUUUGGAAUCUGUUUUUGGCCCUAUCAACUGAGUUUAUGAACACAGUUAUAUUCUGAGCUUCCAUUGUUUUCAACGUGUGCAAAUUCCACCACAUAUUCAUCUCUUUUUCUCUUGUUUUGAUUUUCUUGUCGUGGUUAUGUGAUCAACUCAUAUUGUGCGCGUGAUGUUUAAAACUAAGUAUCACACAUGAAUACUUACAUAUGUGACCCAUUUUUUCUUUAUUCGCGCGUGACGACUCCCGAAAGUGAGUUCGAGUCCAAUUUUAUUUUGAAUACAUGGUUGUUAUCUUAAAAUUCAUGUUGUAACCAUUGUUCGCCCAGAGUCUGCAAAUGUAUGAAAGUCGCAUAAUGUGUUAAUAUGUGGAGAUCCAUGAAAUGUGUCUGUAUAUUCACUUUAUUGCUUUCAACAAAGUAGUCUCAUGUGCACGUGUCCAAUUAAAUCUUAGUUUGUCGUGCUUUUCAACUGAAUAUGGAGAGUAACUUAAAAUUCCACCUUCUCUCUUUUCCGAUAUGAUAACAAUACUGUACACUUAUUUUCUUCAAAACAUUUUUAGCAGGAGUCGGCUCUAGAAUUUAAACUCAUUAAUUUGACCCAUUGUGCGACCUUGAAGGAGUUGUCUUCCUAUUUGUUUAACAUACUUGAAGUAAUGAAUUAAAUGAGUUUUCCAUUUGAAUUUUGUUAUAAUUGUAUCUGUGAGAAGAAAGCUUACAUGGUAAUACUACGAUAACCAUUUUGAUAAGAACGGCUUAUUAGUAGGUAUCUGUGUAUUAGUUAAAUUAUCCUAUUACUUUAUAUAAAGAAAGAAGGUUGAAUAUCAUAUCCCAGUAAAAUUCAAUUCAUACACCGUGUUUAUGCUUAUAUAUUUAAUAUAUUAUUCACAUGGUCUUUUCCCUUUUGAACCUUUUAAAACUUAAGGAUUUACUUUUAUCACCACUAUUAGCCUUGGAAAAGCUUAAUUUUUAUUUACUUUUAUCACCACUAUUAGCCUUGGAAAAGCUUAAUUUUUAUGUGUUAUGUGUCAGGCUGUCAUUUUCUAAAGAAGCAUUUUCCUUAGAGCAUUUCUAUCACAGUUAUUUGUUUUAGAUACAAAUUACUAGUUUCUUGUUAGAGCCAUUAAUUUCCAAAAGUAGUCUGCACCACUAAUGUCCUAGUGACGUUCAUUUAUAUUCUUUAGUCAUAAUAUUUUUUAAUAUAUUUUUUAAUCGAUUCCUAACUUUACCACUUUUCUAUUUCAUGUGAACUCCAGAGUUGGAGUUCAGCAGUGAAACUUAUUUUUGACCCGAUCAUCGGAUCAAUCACUACGUAGGAUUGCAGAGCCUCGGAGUCCCGCAAAUUAGGGUCCUAAACUCCUAACGGAAUCUAGUGUUCUUUGCCAUCCUUGGAUUUACUUCAUAUUCUUAUUGCAUUGAGUUUCUCUUUAUAACUAAAUCUCAUUGUCUAUUUUGUUGAAAGUAGUUUUUAUUUGAUUGUUGAACUCAUUUUGCUAUGCUACUUGUUGAUUUGUUACGCAGUUUAGCAUCCCGACUUUUCGUUAAUGUCACAUGAUCGCUAUUAGAUGAAAAUACAAUCCAUCGUACUUAAUUAGCAUAGCAACCUCGCGCUUUUCUUUAAACUAUACCGAAGAUAAAAAAUGAUAUUUUUACGCUCGCUUAUGCCAAAUAAGUUACUAAAACUCACUUUUCUUUUUUAAGAGGUCACUUGCUAAUUUUAACUUAUUUCCAAUAAAAUAAUAAUAAAAUUUUAACUUUUUGUAUGUUAUUAUAUCUCUUCAACGUCCAUUCAAAUUUUCAGGUUCAAGUAAAUAUGAGGUAUAUACAUUUUUUUGUUACUAUGUACAACGUAUUUGUAUUUUCACAAUAACUAUUUUUCAUAUUUAUUAUUAUUAUUAUUGUUGUUAUUAAUAAUUUUAUCUUAUUAAUCCCUCAACAUAUUUUUACAUACUCCAAAAUACAUAUUUCAUAAACAAAAUUCUCAUAAAAUACACUCUUAUUUACUCUACAAUAAUUUUUAAACUUUGCAUAUUUUUAAUUUCUGUAUGGAAUCUUGCAUUUAUAUGAGGGAAUUAGAAUGCUCCUUUUACGUUUAAAUGCAUGUAUAUGUUUACAAUUAUUAUGUUACAUUCUUGUACAUGGUAGCAUUACAUCUCCUACACCUCAAAGUUUCUCCUUGAAAAAUAAAAAAUAAUAAUAAAAGUGUUCUUAUCACCGUUUAAGCAAGUGAUAAAAAUAAAAGUUUCUUCCUAAUAUUUUCUAAGCUGAGCGUAAGGAAUAUCUUCGAAUAGGCUCUGAGGGGUGCCUAAUACCUUUCCCUCGAGUAAUCAAAAUCCUUGGAAUUUUAAAAUGUUUUCAAUAGACCAAAACAGAGUUUUACAUAAAAAAUAAUUUUUAAACAAAUUAGGUGGCGAUUCUAAAAAAAAUAAAUUCGCAAAACCCGAGAGUCACGACAUAGGCCCCCAUACGUUGUGUGCUGUUUCGACCUGUUCGAAAUAGGGUGCGACACAAUUCUAAAGAGAACGACUCUUAUAGAAAUCAUUACUUGCAUAAAUAACGAAUAAAAGACAGUAGUAGGUUUUCGGACGUACCUGUAUCAUAGCGUGGAGCUUUUAUUCAGAUUGACUUUAUCUAGUGACACUCUCAGAGUUUGCAUGCCAAAGUAGGACAAUGCCGCCGAUUGUCCUUGAGCAGGAACUUCCCAGUAAUCAUCGAACCCAAAUUCAUACAAAAGGCUCAAAAUGAUCAUGCAACUUAGUUUCCAAUAGUGCAACCAGGCAAGAAUUAUGCGUGGUAAGUAAUUCUCUUAAAUUUUGCCUAAAAUUCUCAUUAUUAACUCCACCUGUAUUCCCAACAACAAAACUAAUAGUUUGCGUCAUGGGGGUGAAAAAGUUUGAGUGGGAAAAGGAGCUGGCCCCAAGAGGAAAUUCACUGCACCCAAGUAUUGGUGUCAUCACUACUGCAGACUUGGCUAUGACACUGUUGAUGGCCGAACGCAGGUCGAAGAUCUUCAGUAGAGAGAUUGUACAGAGGUGGACAUACUUUUUGUCCUCGUCCUCGGGAAAUAUAAUGAGACUUGCUUCUUUGAAGGUGGAGAUCUUCGUGAAGGAGGUUCUCUUCAUAUGUUCGGUCUCGUGUGCUUGGACUGGGACUAGUGGCGGAGUAAAGGGUACCAAAAAUUGGCCCUGUUGAACCGCAUUGUUCACUGACCGAGGGGUGAAAAAUAGGGUCAGAGCAGCUUUUUGCGUGUUUGGGAACUGAACUAGUAGAUGGGGAAAAUUCCAUAACAUCUGCAUUGUGUGGAGAAAUUAUGGAGUGACUGAUGGGCUAUUGGAUCCAUGAUGUUCGUGAGCCAUAUUUGGUUCAUGAAGUAUUCGAUGGCUUGUUUCACGCCCUCUGAGAUCAGUUGGGAUAGAAAUUUUUGAUUUUAUAGGAUGACCAAUGUUUCGACUCCGUUGAUGUCUAUUGAGAACAAUGCAACUUGUCCUUGGAGGGCUUUUUUGAUCCAUGUUUGUGGCUGAUGGAGGGGAUGGACUGGUUUUGUUGCAUAGAGAAGUGGAUGGCGGGUGACAUGACGUGGUCUUGGUAGAACGUCUAUGUUGAGGAAGCAUGGAAAAUCGAGGGACAGGAAAAAGACGAACUUUCUGGUGAAGUGGGACAACAAUAUGGUUAUUCAUCUUUAGUUAAGUAGUUUGAAGUAAUUAAGUAAANNN